rnacentral:rRNA from 1 species
AACGAACGCUGGCGGCAUGCCUAACACAUGCAAGUCGAACGAAACCUUCGGGUCUAGUGGCGCACGGGUGCGUAACGCGUGGGAACCUGCCCUUAGGGUCGGAAUAACUCCCCGAAAGGGGUGCCAAUACCGGAUAAUGUCUUCGGACCAAUGAUUUAUCGCCCUUGGAUGGGCCCGAGUUGGAUUAGCUAGUUGGUAGGGUAAAAGCCUACCAAGGCGACGAUCCAUAGCUGGUCUGUGAGGAGGAUCAGCCACACUGGGACUGAGACACGGCCGAGACUCCUCCGGGAGGCAGCAGUGGGGGAUAUUGGAACAUGGGCGAAGGCCUGAUCCAGCACUGCCGCGUGAGUGAUGAAAGCCUUAGGGUUGUAAAGCUCUUUUAACCGGGCUGAUAAUGACGGUACCGGGAGAAUAAGCUCCGGCUAACUCCGUG